CCCUUAGAUGUUCUGGGCCGCACGCGCGCUACACUGACGAAUGCAACGAGCUUAUAACCUUGGCCGAAAGGUCUGGGUAAUCUCCAAAUUUCGUCGUGAUGGGGAUAGAUUAUUGCAAUUAUUAAUCUUCAACGAGGAAUGCCUAGUAAGCGCAAGUCAUCAGCUUGCGUUGAUUACGUCCCUGCCCUUUGUACACACCGCCCGUCGCUCCUACCGAUUGAAUGGUCCGGUGAAGCGUUCGGACCGUGGCCUUUGGACGGUUCGCCGUCUGUUGGCUGCGGGAAGUUCGUUAAACCUUAUCAUUUAGAGGAAGGAGGAGUCGUAACA
rnacentral:rRNA from 1 species